UACGUAGGUGGCAAGCGUUGUCUGGAUUUAUUGGGUUUAAAGGGUGCGUAGGCGGUCUAUUAAGUCAGUGGUGAAAUAUGGCAGCUUAACUGUCAAGGUGCCAUUGAUACUGAUGGACUUGAGUGAAGUCGAGGUUGGCGGAAUUGACGGUGUAGCGGUGAAAUGCUUAGAUAUCGUCAAGAACACCGAUAGUGAAGACAGCUAACUAGACUUAUACUGACGCUGAGGCACGAAAGCGUGGGGAGCGAACAGG
rnacentral:rRNA from 1 species